rnacentral:rRNA from 1 species
UACGGAGGGUGCAAGCGUUGUCCGGAAUUACUGGGCGUAAAGCGUGCGUAGACGGUUACAUAAGUCGGGUGUGAAAGCCCCGGGCUCAACCUGGGAAUUGCAUUCGAGACUGCGUAGCUAGGGUGCGGAAGAGGGAAGCGGAAUUUCCGGUGUAGCGGUGAAAUGCGCAGAUAUCAGGAGGAACACCGGUGGCGAAGGCGGGUCUCUGGGCCGAUACUGACGCUGAGGAGCGAAAGCGUGGGGAGCAAACAGG